GAAAUGCGAUACGCAAUGCGAAUUGCAGAAUUCCGCGAGUCAUCAGAUCUUUGAACGCAAAUGGCGCUGGUUUAACCGCCAGCAUGUUUGUUUCAGUGUGUUAGGAAUCACACAACUCAAUGCGAUUAAAGCCUGGAUACUCUUCGGGCUUUUCUCGUUAAACACGAGGGCGCCGAGCUUUCGCGCUUGGACCCAAACGAAGUAGUCACUUACUCUAAGUGAUCUCGUUUGGUCCGCUACAGGCGAGCUCACUAAAGGCGUUUUUCCCUUCAUAACUCCUAACCCCCCUUUCUUCGACACCUGAAAUCAAGCAAGAUCACCCGCUGAACUUAA
rnacentral:misc_RNA from 1 species